UACGGGGGGAGCAAGCGUUGUUCGGAUUUACUGGGCGUAAAGGGCGCGUAGGCGGCAAUUCAAGUCAGCUGUGAAAUCUCCGGGCUUAACUCGGAACGGUCAGCUGAUACUGCUUUGCUAGAGUGCGGAAGGGGCAAUCGGAAUUCUCGGUGUAGCGGUGAAAUGCGUAGAUAUCGAGAGGAACACCUGAGGUGAAGACGGGUUGCUGGGCCGACACUGACGCUGACAGCGCGAAAGCCAGGGGAGCAAACGGG
rnacentral:rRNA from 1 species